rnacentral:lncRNA from 1 species
CUGGGCCUCUCUGGGUUCUGCUCUGUCCUUCUUGCCCCUCUUGGCCUGUCCUCCCCCAUGGCUCCUAUGUACAGUUCAGGCACCUGGCCCAGCUGCUGAACCUUCAUGGAUGAGGGAACUGAGGUACAGCAAGAGCAUGUCCCUGAUGGUGUGGAAGCUCUCUCUGCUGCUGGAUUUGGGCCUGGAAGAGGUGAAUGGAACUGAUGGGGCUGGAUUGUUGCCAUGCAGAGCCUGGGAAAGAAACCAAUGAGGAGGGUAGAGAUGGUGUGGCUUCAAGCCUGGCUUUUCAGUGACAAUGAUCUUCCAUCGGUCCUCGACCCUGCUCACUUGUCUCCAUCUUCCUUCUCCAAGAACUGGGCUGCCAAUGCUGUUUAACUUUGCAGGAUGAAAACCAGAGGUGGAAGGUGGGGGCUAAGCAAAAUGAUUCUGUGAAAAUGCUUUAGCACCUUGUAACUAUUAAAAUCAUG